AAGUCGUAACAAGGUCUCCGUUGGUGAACCAGCGGAGGGAUCAUUACCGAGUUGCCAAGACUCCCCCACCAUUGUGAACCCUACCCCGCAGUUGCUUCGGCGGCAGCGAUGCCGCCGGCAGCCCCUAAACCCUCUGUUUUUUCAGGCCUCUCUGAGUACCAAAACAAAAAUAAGUCAAAACUUUCAACAACGGAUCUCUUGGCUCUG
rnacentral:misc_RNA from 1 species